AACGAACGCUGGCGGCAUGCCUAACACAUGCAAGUCGAACGAGACCUUCGGGUCUAGUGGCGCACGGGUGCGUAACGCGUGGGAACCUGCCCUUAGGUUCGGAAUAACUCCCCGAAAGGGGUGCUAAUACCGGAUAAUGUCUUCGGACCAAAGAUUUAUCGCCUUUGGAUGGGCCCGCGUUGGAUUAGCUAGUUGGUAGGGUAAAAGCCUACCAAGGCGACGAUCCAUAGCUGGUCUGAGAGGAUGAUCAGCCACACUGGGACUGAGACACGGCCCAGACUACUACGGGAGGCAGCAGUGGGGAAUAUUGGACGAUGAGCGAAAGCCUGAUCCAGCAAUGCCGCGUGAGUGAUGAAGGCCUUAGGGUUGUAAAGCUCUUUUACCCGGGAUGAUAAUGACAGUACCGGGAGAAUAAGCUCCGGCUAACUCCGUG
rnacentral:rRNA from 1 species